rnacentral:rRNA from 1 species
GGUAACGACGGGCAAGCGGGCGCGGUAAGACGGAGGGAGCAGGCGUGGCGCGGAAUCAUGAGGCGUAAAGCGCGCGUAGGCGGCCCCGUAAGUCCGGUGUGAAAGUCAAAGGCUCAACCUUUGAAAGCCGGUGGAUACUGUGGGGCUAGAGUCCGGAAGAGGCGAGUGGAAUUCCUGGUGUAGCGGUGGAAUGCGCAGAUAUCAGGAGGAACACCAAUAGCGAAGGCAGCUCGCUGGGACGGUACUGACGCUAAGGCGCGAAAGCGUGGGGAGCGAACAGGAUUAGAUACCCCUGUAGUC